rnacentral:rRNA from 1 species
GAGUUUGAUCAUGGCUCAGAUUGAACGCUGGCGGCAGGCCUAACACAUGCAAGUCGAGCGGAAACGAGUUAUCUGAACCUUCGGGGAACGAUAACGGCGUUGAGCGGCGGACGGGUGAGUAAUGCCUAGGAAAUUGCCCUGAUGUGGGGGAUAACCAUUGGAAACGAUGGCUAAUACCGCAUGAUGCCUACGGGCCAAAGAGGGGGACCUUCGGGCCUCUCGCGUCAGGAUAUGCCUAGGUGGGAUUAGCUAGUUGGUGAGGUAAGGGCUCACCAAGGCGACGAUCCCUAGCUGGUCUGAGAGGAUGAUCAGCCACACUGGAACUGAGACACGGUCCAGACUCCUACGGGAGGCAGCAGUGGGGAAUAUUGCACAAUGGGCGCAAGCCUGAUGCAGCCAUGCCGCGUGUGUGAAGAAGGCCUUCGGGUUGUAAAGCACUUUCAGUCGUGAGGAAGGUGGUAGUGUUAAUAGCACUAUCAUUUGACGUUAGCGACAGAAGAAGCACCGGCUAACUCCGUGCCAGCAGCCGCGGUA